AUCUGUGGACCACCUUUUAGCACUGGUUGCUCUUGCCUAACUCUUGUCUGCAUCCCUUGGCUGUCAGCCAGUUGGGAGGCUUCUUGUAUGCCUCCAAUGAGCCUUCAAGGAUGCUUCUGGAACUGGGAUAUUUAUCAGAGACAGAUCAGGAAAGCCAGCACCAUUACACAUGCAGCUCUGUGCUGCCUUGGGGACACAUUCUUGGCUGUCUUCCCAAAACGUUCGUGGUAUGGUACUGUCUGUCAGUAUUAACAAGCAUGGGUGUCCCUAAAUGUUUUUAUCUUUGUGUGUGUGUGUGUACUUGGGUGCACACAACUAGUAGUAUGUGCAUUCCUGCAUAUAAGUAUGCAUUUAUUUGAUUUGUACGUUAUCAUAAAAUAUUUUCUCUUUGCUAGGCAUGAUGGUCUGUGUGUAUAAUCUCAGAGUCCAGGAGGCUGGGGCAGGUAGGUAAAAGGCCAGCCUGGGCUAAAGAACAAGACCGAGUCUCAAGAAAACAGCACAAAACAAUAAAUAUGAGAUUUCUCCUAAACAGUGUGGUUUUGUUUUAAAGGUAUCUUCUCCACUUCCUUCCUUGUCCCCUCAAAGAUGUUGACUAACAUCAAGGCAACACCUUCUUUGUAGAUGAAAGAGGUAAGAUCCAUGUUUAUUCUGCCCCUUCCCAUGGCAUAGCCACAGGCAACAGAUACCUUAGCUCCUGCCAUAGGCAGGGAACAUGGGCUUGAGCUAUGUUUGGAAGGGGCAGGAUCUGGGGGACCCCCACUUAAUGCUGUAGGUGAUAAAGUGCUUGGAAGGGAUGGUGAAUGUCUGUUGACCAAGCAUGCAAAUCUGAGUUGUAACAUGUUACUUUUAGCUGUGUUGAUCUUGAGAAAACUACUCUCUGUGCUUCCGUGUCUCAAAGAAGUCAUCUCUGGUUGCGAGGGCCAAUAUGGCAGAUGCCAUUUACCUGUGGCCAGAGCGCUCAGAACAUGAGACCAGAUUUUAGUUUAAUUUUAAUUAACAUUUAAAUUCAAAUUGCUGUGACUAAUGGCUGCGAUAUAGAAUCCACCACUAGAGGACAGCACUGGGUGGCUUCAAGCCACAUACAUACACAACCUUCCCUCCUCCCCCAGUGUAAUCCAACUUAGUGAAAAUAAAUAAAUAAAUAAAUAAAUAAAUAAAUAAAUAAAUAAAGCAAGCUCUGCCUGCUCUUUCUUUGUUUCCCACAUCUAUUUUCUCUUUCCUUUUGAACUACUGAUACCAAAGGCUAGGAGAGGCUGACCUUCUUAAUGGGGACACUGGAGGGCAGCAAUGGGUACUUUCAAAAUGCUCAAUCCCAAGAGGUUUCCCGAGUCCCCUGGCAGUGCUUUGCUUGUGGCUGAUGGCCAGCAGCCUCAGGGGAAUGCAGAAAGCUGUGUUUGCUGAGCUCUGUCCUCUCUUUCCUGUGCUGGGCAGUGGGGUGGGGAGGUCAUGGAAGUGGCAGGUUGGCUGUUUUACAAACAAGUUCAAGUUCUCUUGUCUGUUGGUCCCCAUAGCAGUUGGGCUGUCAGCUGCUCAAACUGUUUUGUUCUCUAACCACAUUUGAAAACGAUGUGAGGAAGAAUAAACAACCGUGAAUGUGGAGUCAAGGAGACCUGAGGGUGAAGCCCAGCUUGGCUGCCUGCCUGCUGUGGACCUUGGACAAAUUGCAUGGCAAUUCUGGGUCCCUGGUCUCCUCUUCUGACACACCAUGACCUGG
rnacentral:lncRNA from 1 species